UUUCCGUAGGUGAACCUGCGGAAGGAUCAUUACAGAGUUCAUGCCCUCACGGGUAGAUCUCCCACCCUUGAAUAUUUAUACCUUAGUUGCUUUGGCAGGCCGUGGAAACACCAUGGGCUCCGGCUUAUGCGUGCCUGCCAGAGGAAACAAACUCUGUUUUUAGUGAUGUCUGAGUACUAUAUAAUAGUUAUAACUUUCAACAACGGAUCUCUUGGCUCUC
rnacentral:misc_RNA from 1 species